GGCGACCGGCGCACGGGUGAGUAACACGUAUGCAAUCCACCUGUAACAGGGGGAUAACCCGGAGAAAUCCGGACUAAUACCCCAUAAUAUGGGCGCUCCGCAUGGAGAGCCCAUUAAAGAGAGCAAUUUUGGUUACAGACGAGCAUGCGCUCCAUUAGCCAGUUGGCGGGGUAACGGCCCACCAAAGCGACGAUGGAUAGGGGUUCUGAGAGGAAGGUCCCCCACAUUGGAACUGAGACACGGUCCAAACUCCUACGGGAGGCAGCAGUGAGGAAUAUUGGUCAAUGGUCGGCAGACUGAACCAGCCAAGUCGCGUGAGGGAAGACGGCCCUACGGGUUGUAAACCUCUUUUGUCGGAGAGUAAAGUACGCUACGUGUAGUGUAUUGCAAGUAUCCGAAGAAAAAGCAUCGGCUAACUCCGUGCCAGCAGCCGCGGUAAUACGGAGGAUGCAAGCGUUAUCCGGAUUUAUUGGGUUUAAAGGGUGCGUAGGCGGCACGCCAAGUCAGCGGUGAAAUUUCCGGGCUCAACCCGGAGUGUGCCGUUGAAACUGGCGAGCUAGAGUACACAAGAGGCAGGCAGAAUGCGUGGUGUAGCGGUGAAAUGCAUAGAUAUCACGCAGAACCCCGAUUGCGAAGGCAGCCUGCUAGGGUGAAACAGACGCUGAGGCA
rnacentral:rRNA from 1 species